UGUGUCCAGAGGUGGGGGACAACCUUGGGAAACUGAGGCUAAUACCGCAUAUGAGCUGAGGCUCAAAGCAGCGAUGCGCCUUUGGAGUAGCCUGCGUCCGAUUAGCUAGUUGGUGGGGUAAAGGCCUACCAAGGCGACGAUCGGUAGCUGGUCUGAGAGGACGACCAGCCACACUGGGACUGAGACACGGCCCAGACUCCUACGGGAGGCAGCAGUGGGGAAUAUUGGACAAUGGGCGCAAGCCUGAUCCAGCAAUGCCGCGUGUGUGAAGAAGGUCUUCGGAUCGUAAAGCACUUUCGACGGGGACGAUGAUGACGGUACCCGUAGAAGAAGCCCCGGCUAACUUCGUGCCAGCAGCCGCGGUAAUACGAAGGGGGCUAGCGUUACUCGGAAUUACUGGGCGUAAAGGGCGCGUAGGCGGCGCUCCAAGUUAGGCGUGAAAGUCCUGGGCUCAACCUGGGAACUGCGCUUAAGACUGGAGUGCUUGAGGAUGGAAGAGGGUCGUGGAAUUCCCAGUGUAGAGGUGAAAUUCGUAGAUAUUGGGAAGAACACCGGUGGCGAAGGCGGCGACCUGGUCCAUUACUGACGCUGAGGCGCGACAGCGU
rnacentral:rRNA from 1 species